AUGGCAAGUUCAUGUUAUAUGCAACCAACACGUAGGAAUGAGAGAUAUAGGGAAAGGAACACAAAGGAAUCCUUCAGGAUUGUCUACCCUCGACGGAAGGUUCAGAAGCACCUUAUACGCUCUUUGUGUCAUGAAGGCGUUAUUCAAACCGACUUCCACAUGGGUGGAUAUCUACAGGAUGGUGUUGACUCCCUCCGCUGGGUUUGGGAUCCAGAUGGCAAGUUAUCCUCGCGUUCAGCUUAUGAGGCUUUCCACGUAGGUGGAGUCGUUGCUAGUGCUGGCUCUGACCAUGUGCCUCCGUCACCUGUGUGGCCGGACUGGGCCCGCAAAUUUUAG
rnacentral:rRNA from 1 species